rnacentral:rRNA from 1 species
AGAUAAAACUGAAGAGUUUGAUCCUGGCUCAGAUUGAACGCUGGCGGCAUGCUUUACACAUGCAAGUCGAACGGCAGCGGGGGCUUCGGCCUGCCGGCGAGUGGCGAACGGGUGAGUAAUACAUCGGAACGUGUCCUUAAGUGGGGAAUAACGCAUCGAAAGAUGUGCUAAUACCGCAUAUCUCUGAGGAGAAAAGCAGGGGAUCGCAAGACCUUGCGCUAAAGGAGCGGCCGAUGUCUGAUUAGCUAGUUGGUGGGGUAAAGGCUUACCAAGGCAACGAUCAGUAGUUGGUCUGAGAGGACGGCCAACCACACUGGGACUGAGACACGGC